rfam:Fukomys damarensis contig160205, whole genome shotgun sequence.
UAAGCCCUGCUCAGAAGUCAAGAGCAGCAGCGCCGCCGCUCCGCGCGGCCUUUCAAGCCGCAGCCGCUCCUUAUUCUUGUGCUUCGGCCUCUCCGGGUGCCCCCGGAGACCGGCCGCUCCCUUCCCGCUAAAUCCCCUUCCGGGUCCGUGCGCUACC